rnacentral:rRNA from 1 species
GAUGAACGCUAGCUACAGGCUUAACACAUGCAAGUCGAGGGGCAGCAUGGAGUUUUCUUCGGAAGACUUCGAUGGCGACCGGCGCACGGGUGAGUAACGCGUAUCGAACCUGCCUCAUACUCGGGAAUAGCCUUGCGAAAGUAAGAUUAAUGCCCGAUGUUCUUGGUGUUCCGCAUGAGGCGCCAAGCAAAGAUUCAUUGGUAUGAGAUGGCGAUGCGUCCCAUUAGUUUGUUGGCGGGGUAACGGCCCACCAAGGCAUCGAUGGGUAGGGGUGCUGAGAGGAAGGUCCCCCACAUUGGAACUGAGACACGGUCCAAACUCCUACGGGAGGCAGCAGUGAGGAAUAUGGUCAAUGGACGGAAGUCUGAACCAGCCAAGUAGCGUGCAGGAUGACGGCCCUCCGGGUUGUAAACUGCUUUUAGUUGGGAAUAAAGCGCGGGACGUGUCCCGCCUUGUAUGUACCAUCAGAAAAAGGACCGGCUAAUUCCGUGCCAGCCGCCGCCGUAA